AGGACGAACGCUGGCGGCGUGCUUAACACAUGCAAGUCGAGCGAGGCCCUUCCUUCGGGAAGGUGCCCUAGCGGCGAACGGGUGAGUAACACGUGGGCAACCUGCCCCUAGCACUGGGAUAACUCCGGGAAACCGGGGCUAAUACCGGAUAUGACCUCCGAGGGCAUCCUUGGUGGUGUAAAGGAUUCUGGCUAGGGAUGGGCCCGCGGCCUAUCAGCUUGUUGGUGGGGUAACGGCCUACCAAGGCGACGACGGGUA
rnacentral:rRNA from 1 species